UUUUCCAGCAGGGCACUGGAUUUCCAGGCUGGCAUACUGUAUGGUUUUGCUAGCUUUUAACCCAGUUUUUCAUCCUUAUUUUACAGAAUUUGUUUUGCCUCCCAAAAAAUUUUGAGAAAUGGUGGAUUCGCAGUAUGGGUCUACAAGCAUCCCAGAAAUCUUGAAGGAGUUCUCCAGGCUUCUAGAAAAACUUGGCAUGAUGCUAAAAGGGAGAGUGCUUUCAAAGUCCUGCCCACUCUGCUUCCCCAAUCAAUAUUCAAGAACGGAGGAAAGGUCUUCAGACCCACAACCAGAAUCCUGGAAGUCAUUCAUUUGACGUACAACCUGUGGGGACCAACACGGUGAUGCAUUCCUGUACAUUCUGUGCCUUGGUGAUGAGACAGCGACAUCCCACACCUUCGCCAUUGUUUCAGGCCAUGCCAUUGAAACAGACUUGUUGCUUGAGGCUGUUUAUCUUUUUCAAGUCCUUUUUUUGUGCUUGAUGUUAGCUACACUAACAUCUUCCUUCCUGGGAAUUUCUCCAGCAUGCAGUAUAUCAUAUUGAUGGACAUGAGUCUUCAUGUGUGAGGUAUUUGAGGGCAACAGUUUUUUCUGGCCACUUGUAAUGUUUUAAUUUUUUGUCACAUGUAUUGUCUGUUGUAGGUCUCUUUGUUUGGCUUAGGUUUAAUGGCACAAUGUUUGGACUGAUUCUCAUGUGGCAAUAAUCAAUUUUAUAGUGUUAUGAUGUUGCAAUGUUGACAAAGAAUAGGAAUCUACAGUACCUAGUUUACAAAGUUUUGUUUUUUUCUACAAAAAACAUUUUAUUUGUGUCUGUAGGGAU